rnacentral:tRNA from 1 species
GGCUUCAUAGCUCAGUUGGUAGAGCAUCGCACCGUUAUCGCGGAGGUCACGGGUUCGCAUCCCGUUGAAGCCC